AGCGAACGCUGGCGGCAGGCCUAACACAUGCAAGUCGAACGGAUCCUUCGGGAUUAGUGGCGGACGGGUGAGUAACACGUGGGAACGUGCCCUUUGGUUCGGAACAACUCAGGGAAACUUGAGCUAAUACCGGAUGUGCCCUUCGGGGGAAAGAUUUAUCGCCAUUGGAGCGGCCCGCGGCUGAUUAGCUAGUUGGUGAGGUAAAGGCUCACCAAGGCGACGAUCAGUAGCUGGUCUGAGAGGAUGAUCAGCCACAUUGGGACUGAGACACGGCCCAAACUCCUACGGGAGGCAGCAGUGGGGAAUCUUGCGCAAUGGGCGAAAGCCUGACGCAGCUAUGCCGCGUGAAUGAUGAAGGUCUUAGGAUUGUAAAAUUCUUUCACCGGGGACGAUAAUGACGGUACCCGGAGAAGAAGCCCCGGCUAACUUCGUGCCAGCAGCCGCGGUAACAC
rnacentral:rRNA from 1 species